rnacentral:rRNA from 1 species
GACGAACGCUGGCGGCGUGCUUAACACAUGCAAGUCGAACGGAAAGGCCCUGCUUUUGUGGGGUGCUCGAGUGGCGAACGGAUGAGUAACACGUGAGUAACCUGCCCUUGACUUUGGGAUAACUUCAGGAAACUGGGGCUAAUACCGGAUAGGAGCUCCUGCUGCAUGGUGGGGGUUGGAAAGUUUCGGCGGUUGGGGAUGGACUCGCGGCUUAUCAGCUUGUUGGUGGGGUAGUGGCUUACCAAGGCUUUGACGGGUAGCCGGCCUGAGAGGGUGACCGGCCACAUUGGGCCUGAGCUACGGCCCAGACUCCUACGGGAGGCAGCAGUGGGGAAUAUUGCCCGAUGGGCGGAAGCCUGAUGCAGCAACGCCGCGUGCGGGAUGACGGCCUUCGGGUUGUAAGCCGCUUUCGCCUGUGACGAAGCGUGGGUGACGGUAAUGGGUAAAGAAGCACCGGCUAACUACGUG